rnacentral:rRNA from 1 species
CUGGCUCAGAUUGAACGCUGGCGGCAGGCCUAACACAUGCAAGUCGAGCGGAUGACGGGAGCUUGCUCCUUGAUUCAGCGGCGGACGGGUGAGUAAUGCCUAGGAAUCUGCCUGGUAGUGGGGGACAACGUUUCGAAAGGAACGCUAAUACCGCAUACGUCCUACGGGAGAAAGCAGGGGACCUUCGGGCCUUGCGCUAUCAGAUGAGCCUAGGUCGGAUUAGCUAGUAGGUGAGGUAAUGGCUCACCUAGGCGACGAUCCGUAACUGGUCUGAGAGGAUGAUCAGUCACACUGGAACUGAGACACGGUCCAGACUCCUACGGGAGGCAGCAGUGGGGAAUAUUGGACAAUGGGCGAAAGCCUGAUCCAGCCAUGCCGCGUGUGUGAAGAAGGUCUUCGGGUUUGGGGCACUUUAAGUUGGGAGGAAGGGCAGUAAGUUAAUACCUUGCUG